ACGCGUGGAACCUUACCAGGUCUUGACAUCCCACUGACCGCUAUGGAGACAUAGCUUUCCCUUCGGGGACAGUGGUGACAGGUGGUGCAUGGUUGUCGUCAGCUCGUGUCGUGAGAUGUUGGGUUAAGUCCCGCAACGAGCGCAACCCUUGUUCUUAGUUGCCAUCAUUUAGUUGGGCACUCUAAGGAGACUGCCGGUGACAAACCGGAGGAAGGUGGGGAUGACGUCAAAUCAUCAUGCCCCUUAUGACCUGGGCUACACACGUGCUACAAUGGACGGUACAAACGGUUGCCAACCCGCGAGGGGGAGCUAAUCCGAUAAAACCGUUCUCAGUUCGGAUUGUAGGCUGCAACUCGCCUACAUGAAGCCGGAAUCGCUAGUAAUCGCGGAUCAGCAUGCCGCGGUGAAUACGUUCCCGGGCCUUGCACUCACCGCCCGU
rnacentral:rRNA from 1 species